ACUCGUAGACUCCUACGGGAGGCAGCAGUGGGGAAUUUUGGAGCAAUAGGGCGCAAGCCUGAGUCCAGCCAUGCCGCGGUAGCGGGAAGGAAGGCCGUUCUGGGUUGAUAAACCUGCUUUUGUCGAGGGAAGAAAAGGUUCUGGCUAAUACCUGGGACUCAUAACGGUACCUGAAGAAUAAGCACCGGCUAACUACGUGCCAGCAGCCGCGGUAAUACGUAGGGUGCAAGCGUUAAUCGGAAUUACUGGGCGUAAAGCGUGCGCAGGCGGUUAUGCAAGACAGAGGUGAAAUCCCCGGGCUCAACCUGGGAACUGCCUUUGUGACUGCAUGGCUAGAGUACGGUAGAGGGGGAUGGAAUUCCGCGUGUAGCAGUGAAAUGCGUAGAUAUGCGGAGGAACACCGAUGGCGAAGGCAAUCCCCUGGACCUGUACUGACGCUCAUGCACGAAAGCGUGGGGAGCAAACAGGAUUAGAUACCCUGGUAG
rnacentral:rRNA from 1 species